GGAGAUAGCUCAGUGGUAGAGUGCCUGCUUAGCAUGCAUGAAGUCCUGGUUCAAUCCCCAGGACCUCCA
rnacentral:tRNA from 1 species